rnacentral:piRNA from 1 species
UAUUAUGACGUUAAAAAAAAC